CCUGCACCCAAACCCAAAGCUCAUAUCAUUCAGUGGUAUGAUUAAGUCUGGUGUGCAAACAGAAAAUGGAUCCUUGUCGCCUUUCUCUGUCGCUGCAGUGCCUUUGAAAGUGAAUCCAAGGGUCCACAUGU
ensembl:snoRNA small nucleolar RNA SNORA68